rnacentral:rRNA from 1 species
AUACGGAGGGAGCGAGCGUUAAUCGGAAUUACUGGGCGUAGAGCGCGCGUAGGCGGCUUUGUAAGUCGGAUGUGAAAGCCCUGGGCUCAACCUGGGAAUUGCACUCGAUACUGCAGAGCUAGAGUAUGGUAGAGGGAAGUGGAAUUUCCGGUGUAGCGGUGAAAUGCGUAGAUAUCGGAAGGAACACCAGUGGCGAAGGCGACUUCCUGGGCCAAUACUGACGCUGAGGUGCGAAAGCGUGGGGAGCAAACAGGAGUAGAAACCCUAGUAGUCC